rnacentral:rRNA from 1 species
UACGAAGGGGGCUAGCGUUGUUCGGAAUCACUGGGCGUAAAGGGCGCGUAGGCGGCCGUUCAAGUCGGGGGUGAAAGCCUGUGGCUCAACCACAGAAUGGCCUUCGAUACUGGACGGCUCGAGACCGGAAGAGGUCAGUGGAACUGCGAGUGUAGAGGUGAAAUUCGUAGAUAUUCGCAAGAACACCAGUGGCGAAGGCGGCUGACUGGUCCGGUUCUGACGCUGAGGCGCGAAAGCGUGGGGAGCAAACAGGAUUAGAAACCCGCGUAGUCC